AACCUUGGAGGCGCGCUCGGCGGGGCGGGAAGACCGAGCUGGGAGCGGGGCAGGGGGAACCGCUCCUCGCGCCCCGGGAGCUGCCGGCGACCCCGCCAGCCAGCUCCUGGCGCUGGCCCUCACGCCGGGUAGCCUGGCCCCGCGGCUGCGGCCGGAGGGCGGUGCGCGAGCCCCGGCCAGCAGGCCGGUGUGCGCCUGGCUCUCCGCAGAGCCCCGGGCGGGCUGCAGCUUCUCCGCGCCCCCACGCCAGAGCCAGCACUCCCCUCCUCCCGGUGGGGGCGAUGACAGCCGAGGACAGCCGGGGUCCAACUGCUAGGAGGCGAAUUCUUCUCCGGCUUCUUUGCCUCUUGGACUAUUGGCGAAAUUGCCCCAGGGAUUUGCUUUUCCUUCGUACUUUAUUAGACCUCCGGAACCGAAAACGCUCCUUCAGAAAGACCCCAGCCUGACCGGUGACCUUCAGGGCUGGGGUGUGUGCAACACCUAGGAAUCUUUUUAAACCCCCUCAAUCUUCAUCGAUGCCUCAAAAGAAACACCCUUCUGUCCCAACCCCCCAGAUCUGGAUAUAAACUUGGUAAAUUAAGUCUCCAGACAAAUAUUUUGCCAUCUGUGUAGAGACAUUGUGUGGACUUUAGGUGUUAGGAUGUGGUUUUGGAAUUUUCUGUGUUGUCUUUAACUCUCAGCAGACAUUUAAAAAAAUAAUAAUAAUAAAACCAGCUUGGUACCGGCCAGCAAGUGAGCAAAGGUUACCCCUGCCACCACCACACCUGCAAAAGCACAAGUGGAAUUCACGUAUUUUGCUUCCCAUGCUCUAAAAUGGAAUCUGAACCGUCCAGAGAAGUCAGCACCUAGGAGGAGGAGGAGGAGGACCUGAAGCGAAAGCAGAGUUGGACAUUUUAAGAAUCACACAGAACAACAAAAUGAACCGCCUCUCUCAAGCUGAUCCUGGAAGCCUCAUCUGUCAUACUAAAGGCUGUCCUAGUGCCAUUCACCACUUCUGUACCUUUGUCCUCAUGGGCUGGUGGCCAGUGACCCCCGAGGGAUGGGAAGACCAUAGCCAGUGCCUGAACACCAGAAUGCGCAGAGUUUGUGAGUACCCUUCCCCUCCCCCGCAGAGGAGCAGCAUUUUUAUCUGACCGUCUCACCUGAGGAUCGACUGCCUCCUUUCCUUUCUAUGCUUUGCUUUCUGUUUGUGCCUUCAUUUGGGACCAGAUACGGUUUGCGGACAGCUGAAGCCUUUCGGUUGGGGAUGGUUCCUGAUAUUGGCCAAAGGUCCUCCUACCCUCUAUCUGGACCCCAACAGCCCGACUGGGAGUCAACAGUAACUUUUGUCCUCUCGUAAGAACCUGGUAACGCAGCAACUGGUUAAAAAGUCUCCAGGACAGUUGCCCGUCUCUUAAAUCUGAGGGAAGACUUGUGACCAGUGGAGUGUUUCUUCAACCCCCCCCCAAGGACCAACCUCUCUCCCUCUGGGUACCAGCCGUAAUGUCCAACACGACCCCUGUGAUCAAAACACUGGCAUGCCUGUCGGUCAUGGAGAAGGCAAAAAGGAAGCGUUGCAGACAGUUGAGGAUCUGUAGCCAGAUGACCUGAAAGGACAGAUGUAGGCUCACUGACACAGCCCGACAUAGCUGCUAUUUUCACCCUGCUUAAUACUAACGCCUCAGCUAUCCCUCUACUGACCUCCGCAUCUCUCGACAGCCAGCCUAUGCCUUACAUCCUCCUGCUUGGGUUUUGCACUCUUGUUGUGAUUAUUCUACAAGGAAGAGGAGGCAGCACUACUGUUACAAACCAGACAGAGAUAGGGAUGCUCCUCCCCUUAUUUGUGGGAUCAGGACUUGUUGUCCCCCUCAGAGCUGCCAGGACCUCCACGGCAGCCACCUUCUAGGCAUACCAUCCGGCUGGAGACUUUCCGGACAAACUCAGUCAGGGGAACGACAUCCACGCUGACAGCAACAGAAGAGCUCCCUUGCCAGGCCCGUGCUCCAAAACUGGAGAGCUCUAGACUUAGUAACUGCCAAGCAUGGGGACUCACGCCGUACCGGAAAAGAAUGCCUUUAUGUAAAUGACUCAAAUGUUGUUGAGAUUAACCUGAAAACCCUCAAAAAAACAAAACAAAACAAAACAAAAAAAAAGUCAUAAGGACCUGCUCUCGCGAUUUCAGCCCCCUGAACGGUUAAGUUGUUUUCCUGGCUAGCCCUUAUUAGCCCCUUAAUAAUGCUUGCUUCCUGCUUUAUACAAUUUCUCUCUAUCAGGCCUUGGACCCCUCCAAUACAGUUCAUUAGGUGCUCAAAACCUAUGAUGACACCUCUCCAUUAUUUAAAAAAGCAAAUAAAACAAACAAACAAAAAUAGGGCUGUGAUCAAAGUUAAAGUCUCAGGAGAGUUUUUCUCAGUCUGCCUCUCUCACUGGAAUUUUAUUUCCCUCCAGAAAGCACAGUGUUUCCUAGAGACUACGGGGACAGAGGAAACAGUCUCUGGAGACUGCCUGCCUCUUCCUAGCCAACAACAUCAAAUAUCCAGGGCCUGUUCUUCCCAAGCCCAUGGCUGUGCUAAAUAGAAGUUAGAAUUUAUGGAGCUUAUGAUUAAUGUAAAAGAUGAUACAGAAAUUAACUGUGGGAGAAACUCCCAGCAGCCAUCAUGGAUGGGAAAAUAGCAUGUUUGGACAUAUGUCAACAAACUGUCAAUAUGUGGAGCAGCCUGGGUUAACAAGGCAGCCAACCGGUGAACCAAAUCAGGUUCUGGUUGUGAUAUCUUGUGGUCUAUACAUAAGUCUCAGGCUGGGUUGAAAUGACCAGAAGUGUCAUUUUGACAUUUAUACACAAGUGUCAGCACAACUUCCCCAUAAGCAUGAUUUGCAUACUGUAAGUUAGAACCCAUUAGGUGGCUGAAGAUUAAUAUGAAAAUUUCGCAAGGAGGCAGUUGGUUCCCUGCAACCAUUCAUCGUGGCGAGUCUGACGAUGCAGGUGCAGCGCGGGGUGGAGAUGAAGCGCUGGUUCCUUUGGAUUUUAAAGUCUGGAGGGAAGAGGAACCCAACGUCUCGAGACCUGGAACCCCUCCAGGGGAUGGGUUGAUCCAGAAAACACAGAUUCCCUUUGACACUACCAACUUGGGCCUGAUACCCGUAGGGCACGUGCUCUUCAUGUUUAAAGCUCUCGUGUGCACUGCCAGUUUGCUGAGGUGUUUGGGGCCACACAUUCCAUUGUCUAUUUGUGGCUCCUCAACUGCUGGUUCUAACAGAAAGUGAAGCUGAUCCACUCUCAAGAUAGAGCAUUUCUGUUGUUUAAUUUGCAGACGGCUUCAAUGACGGAAGUCUACACUCCAGAACAACUUAUCCUGUCUGAGGAGUAAGAGUACAGUAGACCAGGAUUUUUUAAAAUUAGUGUGUUAGAAAUCAUGCAAAUACUUGUUUUCUCAUAAAGAGCCAUAGAGUACCUUUUUAAUUUAAUUGGUUUUAUUUUUGUUUUUGUUUUUCUUCAAAGGGAUUGGUUCUCCUCCCAUCUUCUCAUGUAUAAACCAGCUUUUAGAGUUCUCCCAGGAAGGGCUGGAGUGACAGCGUAGUGGCUAAGAGCACUUACUGCUCCGGAGAAGACUCGGGUUUGGUUCCCAUGUCGGUGCACGACUGCCUGUGACUCGAGUUCCAGGGGAUCCGAGGCCCUCUUCUGGACACCUGGGCACCAAGCAAACACAUGGUGCACAUACACACACACAGGCCACACAUAUGUGUGUGUGUGUAUGCAGUUUUCAACAAAAGUAACUUCCAGCCUGCCAGCAUUAGUAUUACAACGUAUAUUUAAUUAAAGCAUACCAUAUUCUUAAAUUUUUUUAUUAAAGUACAUUUAUUCAACAAAAUGAUACAUUAUAGAAUUAUAACACAUAGCAUAAAAAACAAGUUUCUCAGUAUUUUCAAAUUCUUGGCAUGAUAAUGUUUAAAAUACAGGGACAAUAAAUUAGUGUUCCCAGGAACUCUAAGAAAUUUGAAAGCUGCGAUGAAUUUUGUUGCGGGUUGGUCUGAUGCUUGUAUUUUGAUGCUAAUUACUGGCCCUUAAGAUCUGGUUACUGCCUGGAUACUCUUAUCCUUGUUGUGUAAACCUACCUAAGACAUUACCCCUGGUUGGUUGAUUAAGGCCUAAAACCUGGGCAGGGCAGAAUGGGGUAGGUGUGGCUAAGGAUCUUGGGCUUUGGGAGCAAGAGAAUCAUGGGAAACAGAUAGAUGGACCAGAAGAGAGGAGAAAGGAGGAUGCCACAAUGGGUUAGCAUGGGGAAAAAAAACACGUGGGCUGGGAGAAAGGACUCGAAGAAUGGCGUGAAUAGAAAAAAAAAAUACCAAUAUAAGCAAGUAUUCAUAAGAUCAUAGAUGGAAGGAGAAUGUCAUUGGAUGGGGGCUGGGAAGUGGAUGGUGGGGUUAUAGGUGAAAUAUCUGCCCAGCCCAAGGUAAAUAAGGCAGUUUUAAAAUUUAACAGGUGUCUAUGUCUUAUUAAUUGUGGUAGCAGGUUAAAUAAUACCACUGUAAUAAUGAUAGGGCCAAUAAUAACUAAUAAAUAACCCAAUGCCAUUAUUAUUUUCAACAACAGAUUUUAAACAUACUUCUAAUAACCUUCGCACUUUUGUUAUUCUUUCCUUUUAAAAGAUUUAUUUAUUUAUCAUGUAUACAGUAUUCUGCCUAUAUGUGUGCCUGCAUGCCAAAAGAGGACAUCAGAUCCCAGAACAGAAGCUAUGAGCCACCAUGUGGGUGCUGGGAAUUGAACUCAGGACCUCUGGAAGAGUAGUCAGUGCUCUUAACCUCUGAGCCACCUCUUCAGACCCCACUUUGUUGUUCUGAAAAUGACAACUAAAAACAUCUUUUAAAAAUUCUGUGAUUCUUUUCAUAAACAAAAGUUUCUAUUGAAAGAGGCGAUGAUACCCAAUCCCAAAUACAGGGUGACAGGGCACUAUACGUAUGCUACUUCCUUGUGGAUUCAGAAACAGAUUCGAAUUUUGAUUAGCAAUGCGUCUGUCCAAGCUACUGAUGAUUAAAGCGAAUAAUAUAAUAUAUAAGUCCCAUAAAGCAUAUUCAGUGUAUAAUCCUUUUUUUAACAAUUGAA